rnacentral:rRNA from 1 species
GACGAACGCUGGCGGCGUGCUUAACACAUGCAAGUCGAACGCUGAAGCUCAGCUUGCUGGGUGGAUGAGUGGCGAACGGGUGAGUAACACGUGAGUAACCUGCCCUCUUCUUUGGGAUAACGCCCGGAAACGGGUGCUAAUACUGGAUAUUCACUGAUUCUCGCAUGGGGGUUGGUGGAAAGGUUUUUUCUGGUGGGGGAUGGGCUCGCGGCCUAUCAGCUUGUUGGUGGGGUGAUGGCCUACCAAGGCUUUGACGGGUAGCCGGCCUGAGAGGGUGACCGGUCACAUUGGGACUGGGCUACGGCCCAGACUCCUACGGGAGGCAGCAGUGGGGAAUAUUGCACAAUGGGCGAAAGCCUGAUGCAGCGACGCCGCGUGAGGGAUGGAGGCCUUCGGGUUGUAAACCUCUUUCGCUCAUGGUCAAGCCGCAGCUUUGGGUUGUGGUGAGGGUAGUGGGUAAAGAAGCGCCGGCUAACUACGUG